rnacentral:rRNA from 1 species
GGGCCCGCACAAGCAGCGGAGCAUGUGGAUUAAUUCGAAGCGACGCGAAGAACCUUACCAGGUCUUGACAUCCCUUGACGCUGCCGGAAACGGUAGUUCCCUUCGGGGCAAGGAGACAGGUGGUGCAUGGUUGUCGUCAGCUCGUGUCGUGAGAUGUUGGGUUAAGUCCCGCAACGAGCGCAACCCUUAUUCUUAGUUACUAACGUGUAAUGGCGAGGACUCUAGGGAGACUGCCGUGGACAACACGGAGGAAGGUGGGGACGACGUCAAAUCAUCAUGCCCCUUAUGACCUGGGCUUCACACGUGCUACAAUGGCCGCAACAGAGAGAUGCGAAGUCGCAAGGCAGAGCGAAUCUCAAAAAAGCGGUCCCAGUUCGGAUUGUGGGCUGCAACCGCCCACAUGAAGUCGGAGUUGCUAGUAAUCGCGGAUCAGCAUGCCG